UAUGCCCAUUACGCCUCUAUUGAUUAUGUGAAUUUACUUCAAUUUUUUGAUUGGGUAGGCAUUGUUUAAAUUAGUGGUGUGCAUUCAAUUGAUUUAAUUUCAAAACAAACUACAAAAAUUGAAUUAUUGAAAUUUUUAAAAAUAUAAAUGAAAUCGAACUAAAAUAAUAAAGGAAUUGAAUCCAUUCAAUUUGGUUCUAUCAGUUCACAAAGUCGAAGACUGUGUUUUAACAGAAACAUUGUUGUUUCUCAUUUCUCCUACCUAAAAUUUCCAACACAACCACAAUGAACAAACGAGCAAAAUAGAGGAGGAGGGCGAUAGGUGAGGCUCAUGAGGGGCAUCAUAGCGAGGGGCAAGAUAUAGUUGAUGAAAAAUCAUAAAUGAAUCAAACGGAUCAAUGUUCCCUUUUCUUUUUUCUCAAAGUCAUUCUUCGUCUCUGAGUUAUCAGCCUUCGUCUGUUGCCGGCCUAGCGGCUCCCUCUGCCCCUCGGGGCUGGGGGAGUCUUCGUCCUCCUUGUCCCAAAUUUGGGUCGCCUUCCUUACCUUCGGGGCGGGAUGGUUGUGAAUAAAUAACUAAGUUUUUGAGUAAUUUUGAAGCAGAUUUGUGGGUAUUUGACGAAGGGAAGGCUUCUUGAAGAUGGCUUACCUUUCUGCUGUUUGAAGCUUUCGUUCAGAUGGGUCCUCUUUUAGCUGCGUGUGCAUCUCUUGGGGAUGCUCCCGGUACGAUCCUCUUGAUACCCAGUCUCUCAAUGACUACUAGAGCUAAAGAGCUCUGCCUCGCGCCUGUCUGCUUCCUCUCUCCUGUUCAUUCCAAGGUGCUGUAUGUUUAGUCUCCUUAUCGUGAUCUAAGUGUGCUGGUAGGUUGGCUUGUUCUAGGGCUGCUUUCUUUGGGGUUUCGUGUGUAGGCUUUUCGCCGUUUGGUAAACAACCAUAUCUGCUUCAUCAGGUUCAUCUGCUUCCCAGAAAACGCGGUCAGGCUUGUUUGUUAGGGAUGGCAGCAAUACCUUCUCUUGCAACCGGGUUCUUGAUUUCUUCGGGUUAAGUCCAGAUGCUUUGCUAGUAUUUAUGUAUGGGCCUCUGGCUUUGGAUAGAUUAUGACUUGGGCCAGCCUGUUAAUGCCCUGUUUUAUCUCCAGUCCUUGGUUAAGCUAAGCUUGAGCUUUGAGUGUGUUUAUGGGUUGGGCUUAGCUAGUUUAGUUUGGGUAAGGGCUCUUAAAUGUGUCUCUUAUAUCCUUACUGGAUCCUAUUAUUUGAAUUGGCUCAAACUUGUUAUGAUAAUGACUUUUUACCUUCGAAAAAAAAAAACCAAAAAACCGAAAUAAUGUCUUAUUUUUUACUUA